GACGAACCACACAAACGUUAUUCGGAAUUACUGGGCUUAAAGGGUGCGUAGGCUGCGCAGAAAGUUGGGUGUGAAAUCCCUCGGCUCAACCGAGGAACUGCGCCCAAUACUACUGUGCUCGAGGGAGACAGAGGUGAGCGGAACUUAGGGUGGAGCGGUGAAAUGCGUUGAUAUCCUGAGGAACACCGGUGGCGAAAGCGGCGCGCUGGAUCCCUUCUGACGCUGAGGCGCGAAAGCCAGGGGAGCAAACGGG
rnacentral:rRNA from 1 species